rnacentral:rRNA from 1 species
UGGGGAAUUUUCCGCAAUGGGCGAAAGCCUGACGGAGCAAGACCGCGUGGGGGAAGAAGGCUCUUGGGUUGUAAACCCCUUUUCUCUGGGAAGAAAGUUGUGAAAGCAACCUGACGGUACCAGAGGAAUCAGCAUCGGCUAACUCCGUGCCAGCAGCCGCGGUAAGACGGAGGAUGCAAGCGUUAUCCGGAAUGAUUGGGCGUAAAGCGUCCGCAGGUGGCAGUUCAAGUCUGCUGUCAAAGACCGGGGCUUAACUUCGGAAAGGCAGUGGAAACUGAACAGCUAGAGUAUGGUAGGGGCAGAGGGAAUUCCUGGUGUAGCGGUGAAAUGCGUAGAGAUCAGGAAGAACAUCGGUGGCGAAGGCGCUCUGCUGGACCAUAACUGA